rnacentral:misc_RNA from 1 species
GUCGACCGAUUGUAGUUUCAACUGAUCCUGAAUUCAACCAUUACAUCUUGGGUCAAGAAGAAAGAUUAGUGGAAAUAUGGUAUUUGGACACAUUUUCAAAGCUUUUUUUAAGUGAAUCAAGAAUUAAUUCUGCUGGUUAUAUUCAUAAGUACAUAAGAAGCUUUUUCUUGAGUAAUUUUGGUUCGGAGAACCUUAAGGAACAGUUGCUUCCUCAAAUAGAAGAUAUGAUUAACAAAACUCUUCGCUCAUGGUCGAAUCAACCAUCAGUGGAUGUAAAAUAUUUUGCUUCUGUGGUAAAUUUCAAGCUCAAUCUAGC